CUGCCGCGUAGAGGGAAUUGAGACCGACGUUACCUCGAAGGUAGUGUGGUAGUAUGACGCAGCCGCGAAGCGGUGCGCGCGGCUCUACGUUACCUCGAGGCGGCGGCGAGGUAACCUCGCGUCAACCACGACUUCACCUCGGAGCAGCCGCGUAGUGGCCCCAGUAGCCCGACGUUACCACGAGGCGGCAACCACGGAACCUCGCGUCAACCCGACGUUACCUACCAGUAGCCUCGAAGCGGCGCCGACGUUACCUCGUGGUAGCCCCAGUAAGCUCGAAGCGGCGUCGAUGUUACCUUGAGGUGGUCUCGACGUUACCUCACGGCGGCCCUACGUUACCUCCCAGCAGCCUCGAAACGGCGACGACGUUACCACGAAGCGGCGCCGACGUUACCUCGCAGCAGCGCCAGUAAGCUCGAAGCGACGCCGACGUUACCUCGAGAUGGUCUCGACGUUACCUCGUAGCGGCCCCGACGUUAUGUCGAAGCGGCCCGCAGCUGUCACGAAGGUACCUCGACGUGACCUCGAAGCAGCCCCGCAGCAUUGACGACGCAACUUCGAAAAAAACGUCGGGAGCCACGAUGGUAUCACGUCAUGGUGCUCCUCCUACGCAACACCUAUCUCCUGCCCGACGACGGUAGCUUACAGUGUCCACGGUCUAGCCCGCCGACCGUUCCGCCUACUAAAGGACCCCUUUAGUAGGCCGACUAAACAUCGUCGGCGGUAAGGUCAUUAGGAUGUAGAUGCUCGUGGAUGCAUUAUGCAUUGGAAGGAUUGGUUGAGAGAGAGGGUGUGGACUAAAGAAAAAAAAGCGCUUAUGCGAUCUCACGCAUAGAAAAGUAAUUAUCCAACUCACUUAUGUUGUCUCUUCCCCCCCACGUUUGAGUUACAGUACACGUGAUCCCGUUCUGUUUCUCGGCGUCUGUAACCACUGCCCGACGAGUCGGGCUCCUGUUCUGAUACUUCGAUACGUUCAUUGUUCAAAUCAGGCACGCGCGAACGGGACCGGGUCCUUGCCCGUAGCAUGAUCUAUCUGCGCUUCUCGACGCUCUACCUCCCCCAGAGCGGCAGUUUUUCUGUGGCCAUCGCGACAAAGGUCUACCUGGUACGGCAAUCAUGGCGCUCGCACCGUUCCGGGAACGCCACCGGUCAUCCCCUAGGGUACUAGCAUCUGCGUGUGGUGCCG
rnacentral:rRNA from 1 species